UACGUAGGGGGCAAGCGUUGUCCGGAAUCAUUGGGCGUAAAGAGCGUGUAGGCGGCCAGAUAAGUCCGCUGUGAAAUCUCGAGGCUCAACUUCGAGCUGUCGGUGGAAACUGUCUGGCUAGAGUCCGGAAGAGGAGAAUGGAAUUCCUGGUGUAGCGGUGAAAUGCGCAGAUAUCAGGAGGAACACCAAUGGCGAAGGCAGCUCGCUGGGACGGUACUGACGCUGAGGCGCGAAAGCGUGGGGAGCGAACAGG
rnacentral:rRNA from 1 species